AUUAAAACACAAACACUCCAUUUGGAGUCUUCUGGAGAUCGACCAGAGCAAGGAGGGGCGACCCAGAUUUCUCAAACCCUAAGUUCAUGCUAUUUGAUCAAUUGAAGGCAAAUUUCAGUCCCAAAUCAAAUUCCGAGCAUAGAUUAAUGAUCCCCAUCGCAAGGAGAUCAUAAGGUGAUAAGUGUGAUGAUGCUAAAUUCUUUGACUCUUGACAAGCUAGAUGGAGGCUUGGGAAUGAAGCGGGUCAAACGGGCAAGUACGAAAAGGAAAGCGUAA
rnacentral:lncRNA from 1 species